AUUGAACGCUGGCGGCAGGCCUAACACAUGCAAGUCGGACGGUAGCACAGAGAGCUUGCUCUUGGGUGACGAGUGGCGGACGGGUGAGUAAUGUCUGGGGAUCUGCCCGAUAGAGGGGGAUAACCACUGGAAACGGUGGCUAAUACCGCAUAACGUCGCAAGACCAAAGAGGGGGACCUUCGGGCCUCUCACUAUCGGAUGAACCCAGAUGGGAUUAGCUAGUAGGCGGGGUAAUGGCCCACCUAGGCGACGAUCCCUAGCUGGUCUGAGAGGAUGACCAGCCAAAAUGGAAAUGAGACACGGACCAGAAUCCUACGGGAGGCAGCAGUGGGGAAUAUUGCAUAAUGGGCGAAAGCCUGAUGCAGCCAUGCCGCGUGUAUGAAGAAGGCCUUCGGGUUGUAAAGUACUUUCAGCGGGGAGGAAGGCGACGAGGUUAAUAACCGCGUCGAUUGACGUUACCCGCAGAAGAAGCACCGGCUAACUCCGUGCCAGCCGCCGCGGUAA
rnacentral:rRNA from 1 species